UACGUAGGGUGCAAGCGUUACUCGGAAUUACUGGGCGUAAAGCGUGCGUAGGUGGUCGUUUAAGUCCGUUGUGAAAGCCCUGGGCUCAACCUGGGAACUGCAGUGGAUACUGGACGACUAGAGUGUGGUAGAGGGUAGCGGAAUUCCUGGUGUAGCAGUGAAAUGCGUAGAGAUCAGGAGGAACAUCCAUGGCGAAGGCAGCUACCUGGACCAACACUGACACUGAGGCACGAAAGCGUGGGGAGCAAACAGG
rnacentral:rRNA from 1 species